rnacentral:rRNA from 1 species
AAACGACUCUCGGCAACGGAUAUCUCGGCUCU